CUGAUAAAUAUGCGGUGGAGCAAGCAGAGGUGCUUUUUGCCUUCAAGGCUCUGAGCCCCCUGCUCCCAGAACUUUAUAUUUUGUGUCCGUGUUUCAUUCCUGAACCGUAUUGUCAGCAAUAACUGGUGACCCACAUUGGGGCCUGAAGAACUGGACCUGGUUCCUGACAGAAGAAUCGCUUGAACAACUGAGGUAUAAUGGCACUGGAACUCAGGUGGAGGUGACAGAAGUGCACCAAUUUGGGUCCCAGCCUGACAACUGAAGCUGUACCAUGACUCCAGAAGAGAAAAGGAAAUGGCUGUGGGAUGUCAAGCCUCCAGUGAUGGGGCAGAUAAAAAAAUUAUGUCAGGAUUCUGAAAAAGAAGUCCAAUGAGACAAGCUGCCUAUGACAGGUUCUAACCUGACGGCAGCAAUGUUGGCUCUUAUUGCUAUUUCUUCCUUAGAUGCACAAGAAAAACCCUCUCAGAUCUAAAGCAGAAAGAAGCUCUUUGCUCCAUCUUAUCAGCAUUGAAGAGGCAAAAAAGAGGGGGACAUAUGGGAAACUGAGUCUUCCAUGUUACUCAGGUCAUAUCUGAGGUAGUGGCUUGGAAAGCAAAGCCACAUGCCUGCAUGGAAAGCUGUGCAGGCCCAUGGGAUCUUCAGUAAUUAAAGCUUCAUUUUUUUUAGUAAUUUACCUGGAAGCCCUUAUGAGGAAUGUCAUCAUUUUUCCAUAGCUGCCUUGGACCCAUGCCUCCACAAGACUUUGCAUUUUUUAAAGACAUCUUUCUCUCUUUCAUCUUUGCUUCAUUUCAAGCAUUGUACACCAAACACUUAUUCCUUGAACCUGAACAUCCACCUCAUUCAUUUGUUCAUCCAUCCAAGUCUUUUGGUGGCCACUUUCAGUAGGUGCAUAGCUGUUACUCCUCAUGGUGAUGUCCAUCCAUCUAUGCCAUUUGCACUAUGAAGUCAUCAAGAACAGGGACAUAUGUAGGUGGAUGGCAGCUGUGUCUUCAUUUUGGAACACUUUCUGUGACCCAUUUACACUGUGGACACCUCUUCUUUACCUUACUGUGGACUCAACAAAAUUCAAGAAUUUUUCAAUGAUAUUUCAGUUGCUUGAUAUUUCUUGUUCAGAACAUACAACUACAGAAAAUGUUUUCAUUCUCAUGAAUGUUGUAUUUGAUGUAUGCUGCUGUAU